UACGUAGGGUGCAAGCGUUAAUCGGAAUUACUGGGCGUAAAGCGUGCGCAGGCGGUUGUGCAAGACAGAUGUGAAAUCCCCGGGCUCAACCUGGGAAUUGCAUUUGUGACUGCACGGCUAGAGUGUGUCAGAGGGGUAGAAUUCCACGUGUAGCAGUGAAUGCGUAGAGAUGUGGAGGAAUACCGAUGGCGAAGGCAGCCCCUGGAUAACACUGACGC
rnacentral:rRNA from 1 species